AAGUCUGGGUACUAGUAAUCGAUCUAAGUAUCUCAGCUCUGAGCCUGUGAGGGAACUCUACAUCUCAGUUUUAAGAUCAGGACCUAAUUAUUAUUCAGUCCUAUCACUAUUUAACAGAGAAACUAAUAGCUGACAGGACAUGUUAGCUAAGCUUGCUAAUUCUGAUCUUCCUACUCCAUCCAUAAUUGAUAAUAAAUUUCUAUAUUCUCAAAUAAAUUGUAAUAUUCUUUGGUUCCAAUGUGUUCCCAUUUUCCCAUUUUCUAAUUAGGCUGAGCAAGGAAUUGCUGUUAAACUUCUUGCUAAACAUUUUUCAGCAGGAUUUUUCAUAAGAGCUUUUCCCAUAUGUGAUUAUAUUGUUUGCACGGCAGUGGAAUUCUGUCAGCAACCUCCUACCUGAGCCUUGAAUGUACCAAACACUUUUGGAAGAAAUCAUGCUUUUGUCCUAUUUAUCUUCCUUGCAAAUAAUUUCUAUGUUUCAGUGAAAGCUUAAAAGAAACCCUAGAUAUCUGUAACAACCCUGAUCUCUCAGGAAAUAUUUCCACAGAAAUUCAGCUGGAGCUAUCCUGGCGUUCCUCCUUCACCACUGAGUUCUAAUGCUGAACCUGCUGCUGGCAUCAUUAAACUGGAUGUGCAGCUCUCCUGAAGAGCUCAGAGCACAGUGAAGUCUAUAAAAGAGGAAGAAACCUGCACAGUCGACAGCAGCAGACACCAGGCUGGUGACAUUGUCCAUCUUUCCACUUCCAGGAUGACCGAGUUACUGGAACACCUGAAGGCCACCUUCACAGUAGACAUUCUGCAAUACUCCAAUAGAAACAGCGAUUCUGAUGAAAUGACACCAAAGAUCUGGGGAUGUAAGCAAGCUGUUCUUAGUACAUGUUUGAAAAUUCAGGAAAAGCUUGAAAGGUGAAAGGAAGAGUGUAACUGGCAUUAAGAAACUGCCCCUGGAACUGUAAUUCUGAGUGGCACUGUGCUAGAAGAGCUGUGUUGUGACACAGGGCUAGAUUAUGGAACUCCCUGCCACAUUGAAGUCAGAGUCCUGAAAGACUUUCAGACCACCUGAAAGAAUCUGAAUGUGUUGCUGGACACCAGAAAAUGCUGAGUCUUUGGAAGGAAGAGACUUUAGGGUAGUGCUCCAGUCACAAACUUUAACAGGGGAGUAUUUUAGGAAAUGGGGUUCGGCUAUGUUGCACUAUGAAGAAAGAGCAGGGCAGCCUGACUGAUAGAGUAACCUGGCACUGCUGAGAUGAUGGCUGUGAGGCUAACAAACACUGAUUUAGCACUCCCAGGCUUCUAAGGAAUCAGAGAUUUGUUUCCUACUUGGUAAAAUUUCCCUUGUGCUGACAAAACUCCUUGUCAUGCAAAGAUCAAAUGAUUUCUAUAUUUCAAGCGAAGAGAAGCCACCAAAGAGAAGGACCAAAAUGUCAUCAUUACUAUUCCUCAUCUUAAGCACCUGAAAUGCUGUUUCUAUCAUGGCCCAUAUGCCAAUGCUCUUAAAUAGUUGCUCAGUUGUCCUGUGAACAAAUGGAGGCCUUCACACUUUGUUCUCUAAGUGCUUUCUCCUCCCUGAUUCCCAGUAGGUUAAGAUGUGUAUGAAUAAAAUACACAAAUGUGUAACAUAAAAAUGCUUUGGAGAAGGCCGUGUUUAGCAAAGCAAAUGGCCUGACUUGGCAGUUGGUUAUUUGUACUGCAGGAGGCCUCUGGAGCCCCACUGGGAGAGGUAUUUUCACAGGUCUAUAAAAGAAAAUACUUUGCUUUGGGGAACACCUUCUGCCCCCCUUGUGUCACAGCCUAGAGUGAAGUUGGACUGUGAACUGCCCCUUUUAUCUGGAGUCACUGAGCUCAGCUAAGUGGCCUGAUCUAAUUUUCUUUGGUGUCCCAAAACCUUCCUGUGGUUAUUUUCUGAUUUGAUUUCUCCAAAAACUACAUUGACACAAACAAGAUUAAUUCCUAGCUUCAGCUGGUGGAGCUGAGAAUUGCAUUUACUGCCUUUAGGAGCGCUAUGAUAGCCUCACUUCAUGUGGGUGAUGCGGUUUACCAUGUUUGAACAGGUAAAUGCCAUUCACUGUGUGAGGAAAGCAGAGCCUAGCUUAAAGUAAAUAAAGCUUCACCUUCCAGCUAAAGGAAAUAUGGGAAUGUUUUUCAAGAUUUUUAAAGAAAAAACUUGAUCCUGUAGCAGGAAGCUGGAGUUCAAAAUAGAACAUCAGUAGGAAUAUCACAGGA